GUCUCUGCAGUCAACCAUUCUGUUCUUGGAUUUCCCAGCCAGCAGCCCAUCUCGCUCUUUGCCACCUCCGCUCCAGUACUUACCUGUCCGCCCUCCACUGCAGCUUACACUACCCUCAAGGGACUCUCUCCAUCUAGACACAGCCUGGGUAACCGCAGUAUUAUGCUGGACAAGACCAAUCUUCACCUCAAAUGGUGACUAGAGGCUGCACACUGUGGAGGGCGUGCCUGCUGACUCAGCCGGCGUACCCGUGAUCUAUUAGACAAUUGUCCUGGAGUAUAUGAGGAUCAGGCUGCCAGCACAUCAACACCUGAGUGUUUGCCAGUAAUGGUGUUUUCUUGUUAUGCCUUGGAAAUUACCCUGUGAAGCCUGAGACCUGGCUUUCUGGAUGUUUCCUCCCCUCAUGACGCCAUGGAUUGUUACCCACUGGUUGCCAGAGUACCUCCUUCACUCCUGCUGAUCUCCAGUAAACCGUUCCUGGAUUCCCAGCUGGCAGUCAGUUUGCUCCUAUUCUCCUCCGCACCUGAACUUACCUGUCCACCCUCCACCACAGCUUCCACACCACCAACAAAGAACCCACUCUGUCAAGACCUCACACUGGAACCCAGACCACUUCAAGGACACACACAAAGGGACCACACCCUGGAAACCACUG